GGCCUUUCGGAGUAAAUUACACUAAUCAUCUCUCAAUUUAUCUAAUUAUUUCAUUUUAGUUAAAUAAUUUCAAUUUAUUAAAAUAAAACUUUCAACUUUCGUUUUAUUUAAAAUUAAAUAAUUAAAAUAAAUAAUCACCUAACUUAAAGAACAAUCAGUGUAAUUUACCCAGCCUUUCGAGGAACGUCUAUUUGUUAAUGAUCGAAAGGUCGUUCUCAUGCGAUGAUGAAACUG
rnacentral:misc_RNA from 1 species